rnacentral:rRNA from 1 species
CCGAGCGGAAGAGUUGCGAACGGGUGAGUAACGCGUAGGUAACCUGCCUCUUAGCGGGGGAUAACUAUUGGAAACGAUAGCUAAUACCGCAUAAAAGUCGGCAUUGCAUGAUGUUGACUUGAAAGGUGCAACUGCAUCACUAAGAGAUGGACCUGCGUUGUAUUAGCUAGUUGGUGAGGUAACGGCUCACCAAGGCGACGAUACAUAGCCGACCUGAGAGGGUGAUCGGCCACACUGGGACUGAGACACGGCCCAGACUCCUACGGGAGGCAGCAGUAGGGAAUCUUCGGCAAUGGACGGAAGUCUGACCGAGCAACGCCGCGUGAGUGAAGAAGGUUUUCGGAUCGUAAAGCUCUGUUGUAAGAGAAGAACGAGUGUGAGAGUGGAAAGUUCACACUGUGACGGUAACUUACCAGAAAGGGACGGCUAACUACGUGCCAGCAACCGCGGUAAUACGUAGGUCCCGAGCGUUAUCCGGAUUUAUUGGGCGUAAAGCGAGCGCAGGCGGUUAGAUAAGUCUGAAGUUAAAGGCUGUGGCUUAACCAUAGUACGCUUUGGAAACUGUUUAACUUGAGUGCAGAAGGGGAGAGUGGAAUUCCAUGUGUAGCGGUGAAAUGCGUAGAUAUAUGGAGGAACACCGGUGGCGA